GCCAUGGCUCAGUGGAAGCGCGUCUGCCUUGCAUGCAGAAGGUUGCAGGUUCAAUCCCCAGUACCUCCA